rnacentral:pre_miRNA from 1 species
AGCUUUAUGUAUCCUUGCUGAGAUUUCGUCAGCGAUCAACCCGCUGGGGCUGAUGCAGCUUCCCAAAUAAGUGAAGUG